UCCGGCAACUUCCUCCACCUUGACCGGGAGGAGGGCCUUGUGCGACGAUCUCAGUCCCGCGGGGCCUGGGAGGUAGCGGCCGUGAGCGCUGGCCCGCCGCUGCGGGACGCACUCCCCGGCCUGUGCACUGAGCGCGGGCUGCCGGGCACCCGGCUACGUCCCAGCCCUGCGGCUCUAUCGCGCUUGUCAUCUGGGUUCUCCGGUGCAGGGGCGGGCCACAGCGCCGCCAUCGCUCAGAGCCCAGGGAAAGAUGAUCCCGCGACCGUCCGGCCAAAAGCAACCACGAGACUCGGGUUCUCGAAUGAACUUGGGUCGAGACCACACGAGAAGAGCGAGUUUCGUUUUCAGGUGCUCCCACAGCAGACCCUCUUGGUCUCCCCAACCCCCAUCCUGGCAGAGCCCCGGAGCGCCACAUUUCCGGGCUCAGCUUUCUGGCAUCCCGAUUCUGUGUCCUGGUGGACACCGCCACAGCUGGGCCCUCGGGAGGAUCUGCCCUUGA
ensembl:antisense Gm10399 predicted gene 10399